rnacentral:tRNA from 1 species
GCUGAUUAAACUAAAUUUAAAAAUUAAUUACAAAAUGUGGCUUUUAACCACGUGGCCGUGGGUUCGAUUCCCACAGACGGCG